UACGGGGGGGGCAAGCGUUGUUCGGAAUUACUGGGCGUAAAGGGCUCGUAGGCGGCCAACUAAGUCGGAUGUGAAAUCCCUAGGCUUAACCUGGGAACUGCAUCCGAUACUGGAUGGCUUGAAUCCGGGAGAGGGAUGCAGAAUUCCAGGUGUAGCGGUGAAAUGCGUAGAUAUCUGGAGGAAUACCGGUGGCGAAGGCGGCAUCCUGGACCGGCAUUGACACUGAUGAGCGAAAGCUAGGGGAGCAAACGGG
rnacentral:rRNA from 1 species